rnacentral:lncRNA from 1 species
AAAUUUGGACAAGACACUGAAUUUCUGUUGGCCAGAAUUUUCUCAUUUGUAUAAUUAAGGAAUUGGAUUAGAUGAUCUUUAAGAGCCCUUCCAGCUCUGAUAUUCUAACAACUAUGUAAAAUCCUGGGUUGAAACUGACAGGUGUUAUUCCUAGUGUUUAGUAUGUUAGCAUCGCAGUAUUAGAGACUUGAUAAAGGCAAACAAAGUUGUAGGUAGCUUAUGAAUUGUUAAAGCACGCUGGAUAAAGAUGAUAGUUUAAAGUUUUUCUUUUGAUUUCUGUAACUGUGACAUGCCCCUACUCAGAACAGAAAUUUAAUGUUUAGCUGCUGCCAAGGAAUAAAGUAUUUAAUUAACAUCAUGAGCUACUUUUAGUGAAUAUAAAUGCCCUCCAAUCAAAAUCUUCCUCCUCUAGAGAGAUUUGAAGAGGAGUAGGCUCUGGCUCCCCAAUGGCAAAAGAUACCAUGGCAGGGUGGAAAAUGGAGUCACUCAGCUGCUUAUGUUAUUUGACAACUGCCCCCCGCCCCCAGCAAAUGACUGAUCUGACUGGUCUUUCCCAUGAAAUGGACUGUUCUUUGGGCUCAGAGGGAGCCUGACCUGUAAUUCUUAGGGAGGGAAGAAAAAAAGAAAAAAACAUCAUGGAGGGGGGAUUUGUUUGGAGCUUGUGGGCUGAAGGGCAAAGAAGACUGGAGAGGGANNNNNNNNNNNNNNNNNNNNNNNNNAGAGGAAAAUGAUUGGAGAGGAAAAUGAGUUUGAGACAAUUGGUACUUCAAGUGGUCACAGAAAACUCAGAGAUGGGAGAGAGGCACAUCAUUUCCCAGAGUCACUUGGGUCUUGGUUCUUCAGCUAACAAAGCACAAAAGAUGCCCUCUCUUCACUGCCUUCCUCCCUCUUUCUGCCCACCACGGCUGCAAUCAGAAGAGCUGAGCGGCUGAUGAGUUUCGGUAAUAGAUGGUGAUUACUUGCAGGAGAGUGGCUCUCUGUUCCUUCCUUUUCUCUGUGUUUUGAUUGUUUAAGUUUUUUUUUUCUUUUCAAAAAGAAAAACGUGCAAAGAACCCAACCAUCCCAAAACAAAGGAUUCUUUGAACUCCUCCUUUCUCUCUACUCCGAACCAGAUUGCCUCGCUUUUCUAUAAAGCUCUCCCGUGCUUUGUAAUACUAAUGAUGAUAAUGGUAAUAAUGAGCUCUUAU